ensembl:lncRNA
AGAAAUUAGGUCAUACUAUUAAAAAUAACCAUCUGUCCAGCAGGGAUCUCCUUACAGGACCAGUUCUUUGCAUCAAAGAGCUUUAUUCCUUGUCACAUUUGGAUUCUGUAGAGCUAAGGAACUGUGUCAGGAGAACAGAAUUUUGAGGUAACAACAGCAAAAACAAUCUCCUUGCUCAUACGAUCCAUAAGUCUAGUUUUGCAAUGGGCCCAACCUCUCCAUCUGGAAGAUGAAAAUGACAGACUGAGAGCGAAUGGUGUAGAGAAGCCUCAGUGAACAGGUAACAAGUGGUGCAUAAGAACAGGAAAUAAUAGAGAGCACACAGCAAUGAAGGAAAGUGAAGAAGUGUUCCAAGUCUUUUGUGUCCAAGUUAAAUUGCCUGCAGAUAGAGAUCUCAUGGAACACAUCCUUGGCUGUGCCAUCAUUUGGCAUCCUUUUACAUGCCAGCAUUGCCAAGAGUUAUUAAGCAGUCAUAUUUGAAAACAUUUUGCAGGUGCCAGCCUGUACUCUCCCCUGUGUUAAUGAGAAUUUGACCAUCUACUGUAGGUGUAACGUACAGGGGAGGAGGAGCAGAGUCUGUGAACAAGCCACUUUUGCAUUGAAAGUAGAUCAGUGGCAGAUUAACAACAGGAUGUCUCUGCAUUUUAAUUAAAAUAAAAUAAAAUAAAAUCACGUAACACUGGGCCAGACUAUUAGAAACCGCUACUUGUGCAACCCAAUUGAGACAUCUGGUCUCUUUACCUUGGUCACUGAUGAGAAAAUAAAGACAAUCAGGCCUGGAAUCUGGACAAACCUGAGAUCAAAUAUUUCUACUGUUUAACAGUUUCCUUAUCAGAGAGUGAUGUGGUUGAUUUGAAGACACAGCAAUGUGAAUUAAUUUCUCUUUCUUUCAUUCAGCUUUUUUUACAGUUCUGUGUGGGAGAAAAAACAAUGCCUAGUUCAUUUCAAGAAUCAAAAGGACUCUGUCUUUUCCUUGAGCUAUUCCCACUCCUUUCAUUCCUCCCCAUGCUUUUUCUCCUUAUCCUCCCUCAUUCUCCUACACUGCACACAUGGCCCCUUUAUGUUUGCAAGCAGCACAUUAACCCGAAAGGUUAACAAGCGGAGGGCUCAGGUGCACUCCAUACUCUUGUAGCAUUACUAAUGCUGUGGUCAUGGACUUGGAAUGGCAUUCUGGAAAAUUAGUUCUUUUGUGAUCUCUGUGCUCAGAGCCACUCUGCUGUUUUCUGUGUUCUAUAACUGCAUUUUUAUGCUGAGCUUUCCAUGUCUCUGAGAAUAUGGGUUUGGUUUUUUUUGCUCAUUCCAUUACCCAUUCCCUGGGAGCACAACAGAGUUAUUUGUGAGACCAACACCAACUGCAAUAUGGUAGAUAUGUCAGUGCCAGCAAAUUUUGUUAAGUACUUCUGUGCAUGUAAAAGCAGCAGAAGAGGUCAUGGCAAAGGGGCAUGCAAAAGCCUUGAAUGGAAGCCUCUCAAUCUAAAUUCCUCUUAGCUGGGCAGUUACAUAGUUGAACUCCAGAAAUCACUAGCAAUACCUCAGUCACCUUAAUUCUGAGACUGUCUACCACAUUUAAGAUCUACAAUAUUCAGAUACAUCAUUAUUAAAAAUCCCCCAAAUACUUAAAUAUCAUAUCCCCAAGGAAAUCUAAGAAAUGUUUAUUCCAGAAAGAUGAACAUCCAUCUUCUGAAAAACUCAGCUGUAAGGAAUCAGUAAGGGCAGACUGAUAAAUAGAAGUCAAAAUUGCAGGAGUAAGUGGCCAAGCACUGACGUGGCUGUAAUGCAGCUGUAAUCUAGCUCAAGUGACACCAGGGAUUGAACUUCAAUUUACAGGCAUUUUCCAAGCUGCGGCAUCCCUCAUUACAACCUUCACCAGUAAGCCAGUUGGCAGUAGCUAUUUGAACCCUGAUGGCAGGGAAUGUAUUGAGUGUCCUGGCAUCAGGUUUGGAAAGACAGUGACUUAAAACCAUACACUAGCUUAAUUUAAAUACUGGUUGUUGGUGGUCAUCCUUUGUAUAGCACUUAUUUUAUUUUAUUAACAAAUUGGCAAAUCGUCAAUUUAUUAAGUAAAAAUUUUGGGUUUUUGUUGUUGUUUCAUUUUCAUGUUCCCUUAUUCAAUUUAUCUUGAAUUUACUUGAAGAAAACAUGCAAAAGAAGAUCUGGUGAAGGAUCUGAAGUGGAAGAAUUGUAUACCAGUCCCGCUGAGCAGAAACAACUAUAGAACAGAAAGACUUUAUGAGCUACAGGAAGAGUGAUCAAAAGAGAGCUUUAUUGUAAUACACAUAGCUCACAUAGGAGGAAUUAGAGUUGGAGACAGUCAGGGCAUGUUUUGCACACCACUACCAUGUCCAGUUCUGUGAAGGGAAGUUCAGUCUGCCAUUGAGUGAAUAUCUUCCCCCUGGAACAUAGCCUUUUGCAGCUCUGAAGGGUCGUUAUAUUGAAGUCCAAACAAUGGAAAUGCCUCAGACUUCUUAUCUCUCAGGAAUUUAAUGCAUUCUUUCUCUUAGAAGCACCACACUUCGAAGUGAAGGAACUGAAGACUGAGCAGUGAACAUGAAAAAUCACAUAUUCUCCAAAGACAUAACCAGACUUGAAGUCAGACUGACAUGGAAAGCAAUUCAAGGUCUCUGUAUGCUUUCCACUUCAAGUAAUUGGUGGAGAAGAGGUUGUGAGGAAUGAUUAGGCCUUGACCCAUUUUCCUUUGUACUUUUCUGCGUGGUGAUCCAAGUCAACCCUGUAUUGAUCCCAAACAAAAUAAUGCUAUGGCUGAAAUAGAAUUCGAAAAAGUGAACUAAGGCAGUAUAAUUACUAACAGUCUGUGUGGGUUUACAGAAAACAAAUCUUGUCAAACUAACUUAAUAUUUUUUAUGAGAUUAUAGAUUUUGUUGACAAAGGUAUUUCUACUGAUGAAAUGCACUUACAUUUCUGCAAGGCAUUAACCAGAGAAACAGGACAUUUCAAAACCAAUCUGGAAUACUUAAAAUGGUCUUAAGCCUGACAAGCCAAAAAGUCUAAAAACAAGGUAGGAAGCCAACAAAACACGCAAUAUGUUUUUAAUUAGGUUGAGACACAAAGCCAUCAAGAGCAAAGAUUUCAUGUCAACAGCAAUAACCCCUUUCUGGGAAGCGGUAACAAAAUGUUUAGCAGUUGAACCUUUAGCUUAGCCAGCCUAACAUUCAGAUAGCUUUGUUUUCAGCAUUAUGAAUCCGUAUUACUACUGUCAUGAUUAAUAAAAAGCACAGAAGAAACUGGGAAGACCUGGCCCUUCACAAGUUUUUCUUCCUUAAAUGAAAAUGGAGUCAGCUUAUGAGUUCACUGGCCUUCUAGCACAUGGUCUCUACUAGUUUUGUUUAGCACAUUAUAUACAUUUCUUCAGUUUGGUGAAAUCUCUCAUUGCUCAUUCCCUAUUUCACAUUUAUUCUACCACCCAAGCAUUGAAACUGAACACUCUCUUCAUAGUCCUACUGAGUUACAGUAUUAACACCUCAUACUGUAUCCUCUCCCCUCAGCAAGUGUAGGUAAUGCUAUAACUUCUUCUGUGCCAUCAGGAAAAAAAAAAAAAAAAACACUGAAAAAAGGACGUGUCCAAGAAAAAUACAUUUCAGAGCCUUAUAUACCUUCUCAGGUUGUUGUUAAUAACUUUUCUUCAGUUGUCCAGGUAACAAGUAAAUAAAAGAAUAUUAAAAAAACAGACAGAAUAUUUUUAGUGUAGUAUUAAUUCAUAAUAUAACUUGUUUGUCCAGGACCAUAUCCACAUGAAAUUGGAUAUAUUUUUAUAUGUUUUCUGGAUAACACCAUUGUGAGAAGGAUCAUUAACAGUUCAAGAAUAUUCUGUCUCACUGUAAUUAUAUACUUAAAUAAUUUGAUAUUAUAUAGCUAGUGAAAGCUGCUCUCUUACCAGAGUGGAAAAAAUAGAGCCCUUCACAACAGGAAAAAUGAGGUUUAGUGGUACUGGUAUUCAAAUUCAAGCACAUACUUAAAUCUUUGCAGAGCUGAGGCCUAGGGUGGUGGUUAGUUUUAUUUCAGAGAUGAACAGGCAGUCAUCUUGUUGGAAUGACACAAAGUAAUGGAAAUGCAUCAUGCCAUCUGUUGGCAAACCACAGUGCUGCAGCCGGAAGGUUUACAAAACCAUGCCGCAUGUUAUCACCACCAAGCAAAUUAGAAGAAAUCAUAGGGAGUCCUCACAAACAAGCAAGCAUAUAAAAGAGCAAUUGCCAGAAAAUCUAAAUUUGGUUUUCCCUUUAUUUGCACACAUCUGCUAACUGAACACAUUGCAGUUUGAUUACAUAGCCAAAUUACCUUUUCCUAGCACAGCUACUGUUGAGAGAUUAAUUUCUUCCAAGUGUGAGUUUUUGUGCAUCUCUGCAGAUACACUAGAGUAGAAUGAAUUGGUAUAAACAGUGUCUGUGGUCCUGUGGUCCUGAUGAUUUCCCUGUGUAAGACAAUGCUAUCAAAAUAUGACUAGAAUUAAUUAAUUUCUAUUCCUAAUAAAUGUAUUUAAUGAAAGCUUUCUAUUAAAAUUGCCACCAUUAUAUAUGUAAAUUGUGGUAUUAUGGAAUUAUAGAAUCAUUAAGGUUUGAAAAGACAUUUAUCAACAUCAAACCCAGCCAUCAACCUGAUCUACUGAGUCCCAUCACUAAACUAUGUCCUUUGGUGCCAUGUCCAGGAAUGGGGAUUCCAUCAUUUCCCUGGGCAAUUCAUUCCAAUAUUUAGCCACCCUCUCUGUGAAGAAACCCUUCCUGAUAUCCUAUCAAAACCUCCACUGCAUGAACUUGAGACUAUUUUCUCAUGUCCUGUCUCAUCAUCUGAGAAAGAAGACUGAAAUUCUCCUCACUGAAAAAUAUUUUCCUUGGAUUUUUUUUUUUUUUUAAUUAUUAUUGUUAUUAUUUAAGCACAAUAGAACACCUGGGUAUGUAAUAAAUACCAGAGUUUUUUCUUAUUUUGUGGCAUCCAUAGUGGUGUAUCCC